AACGAACGCUGGCGGCAUGCCUAACACAUGCAAGUCGAACGAGACCUUCGGGUCUAGUGGCGCACGGGUGCGUACCGCGUGGGAACCUGCCCUUAGGUUCGGAAUAACUCCCCGAAAGGGGUGCUAAUACCGGAUAAUGUCUUCGGACCAAAGAUUUAUCGCCUUGGGAUGGGCCCGCGUUGGAUUCGCUAGUUGGUAGGGUAAAAGCCUACCAAGGCGACGAUCCAUAGCUGGUCUGAGAGGAUGAUCAGCCACACUGGGACUGAGACACGGCCCAGACUCCUACGGGAGGGAGCAGUGGGGAAUAUUGGACAAUGGGCGAAAGCCUGAUCCAGCAAUGCCGGGUGAGUGAUGAAGGCCUUAGGGUUGUAAAGCUCUUUUACCCGGGAUGAUAAUGACAGUACCGGGAGAAUAAGCACCGGCUAACUCCGUG
rnacentral:rRNA from 1 species